AUACGGAGGAUCCGAGCGUUAUCCGGAUUUAUUGGGUUUAAAGGGUGCGCAGGCGGCCAUUUAAGUCAGCGGUUAAAUCGUGGGGCUCAACCCCAUUCUGCCGUUGAUACUGGGUGGCUUGAUUGCGGUCGAGGUUGGCGGAAUUCGUUGUGUAGCGGUGAAAUGCAUAGAUAUGACGAAGAACACCGAUUGCGUAGGCAGCUGACCAGACCGCAAAUGACGCUCAUGCACGAAAGUGCGGGGGUCGAACAGGAUUAGAUACCCUGGUAGUCCGCACAGUAAACGAUGAAUACUUGUUUUCGGCGAUAUAAUGUCGGAGGCAAAGCGAAAGCGAUAAGUAUUCCACCUGGGGAGUACGCCGGCAACGGUGAAACUCAAAUGAAUUGGCGGGG
rnacentral:rRNA from 1 species